rnacentral:rRNA from 1 species
AUUGAACGCUGGCGGCAGGCCUAACACAUGCAAGUCGAACGAGUGGCGGACGGGUGAGUAAUGUCUGGGAAACUACUCGUUGGAGGGGGAUAACUCCUGGAACCGGUAGCUAAUACCGCAUACCAUCGUAUGUGCCCAGAUAGGAUUAGCUAGUAGGUGGGUUAACAGCUUACAUAGGCGACGAUCCCUAGCUGGUCUGAGAGGAGGACCAGGCACACUGGAACGGCGACACGUGCCAGACUCCUACGGGAGGCAGCAGUGGGGAAUAUUGCACAAUGGGCGCAAGCCUGAUGCAGCCAUGCCGCGUGUAUGAAGAAGGCCUUCGGGUUGUAAAGUACUUUCAGCGAGGAGGCGUUACUCGCAGAAGAAGCGCCGGCUAACGACGUGCCAGCAGCCGCGGUAAUAC